rnacentral:rRNA from 1 species
AAUAUUGGACAAUGGGGGGAACCCUGAUCCAGUCAUGCCGUGUGUGUGAAGAAGGUCUUCGGUUUGUAAAGCAACUUCAGUUGGGAGGAAGAGUUGUAGGCUUAUACCUUGCCAUUUUGACGUUACGAACAGAUUAAGCCCCGGACACAUUCGUGCCUUCAGGCGAGGUAAUAAGAAGGGUGCAAGCGUUAAUCGGAAUUACUGGGCGGAACGCGCGCAUAGGUGGGUCGUUAAGUUGAAAGUUAAAGCCCCGGGCUCAACCAGGGAAUGGCAACCAAAACUGUCUGACUAGAGUAUGGCAGAGGGUGGUGGAAUUUCCUGUGUAGCGGUGAAAUGCGUAGAUAUAGGAAGGAACACCAGUGGCGAAGGCGACCACCUGGGCUAAUACUGACACUGGGGUGCGAAAGCGUGGGGAGCAAACAGG